CCUCCAUGCCCACGCCAUCGACGCCGUAGUCCGCCAUCGCAGCGUCGCCCUGCAUCUCAGCCUGCCGCCUGGUCUUUCUGCCAGACUGCUGGAUGGGGAGUGGCUGGAUGAUGUCACCGGGUGGUCCCUGAAACACGGAGGUGGUCCAGGUGGUCCAAUCAUUCCACUGUCUCCCUUCUGACCUUGUGAACCCUGUUGGAAAACAAGGCAUCGUGAACUUCAUUAAGAAUGAAAGUCACCCUUCAUACCAGGAAGUCCAGGGGGUCCCUGUGGAGGGAAAGAAUCAGACUGUCAAUCAUAUUGGCCAGGGAUUCCACGCAGUCCCUCAGGACCAGACUUUCCAGCAGGCCCCUGAGGUCCAACAGGUCCAGUUUUGCCAACAGGCCCCUCUGCUCCAGCUUCUCCCUGUAAAACAACAGCACAGUUACUACCUCUGCA